rnacentral:rRNA from 1 species
ACGAACGCUGGCGGCGUGCCUAAUACAUGCAAGUCGAACGAAACUUUCUUACACCGAAUGCUUGCAUUCACCGUAAGAAGUUGAGUGGCGGACGGGUGAGUAACACGUGGGUAACCUGCCUAAAAGAAGGGGAUAACACUUGGAAACAGGUGCUAAUACCGUAUAUCUCUAAGGAUCGCAUGAUCCUUAGAUGAAAGAUGGUUCUGCUAUCGCUUUUAGAUGGACCCGCGGCGUAUUAACUAGUUGGUGGGGUAACGGCCUACCAAGGUGAUGAUACGUAGCCGAACUGAGAGGUUGAUCGGCCACAUUGGGACUGAGACACGGCCCAAACUCCUACGGGAGGCAGCAGUAGGGAAUCUUCCACAAUGGACGCAAGUCUGAUGGAGCAACGCCGCGUGAGUGAAGAAGGUCUUCGGAUCGUAAAACUCUGUUGUUAGAGAAGAACACGAGUGAGAGUAACUGUUCAUUCGAUGACGGUAUCUAACCAGCAAGUCACGGCUAACUACGUGCCAGCAGCCGCGGUAAUACGUAGGUGGCAAGCGUUGUCCGGAUUUAUUGGGCGUAAAGGGAACGCAGGCGGUCUUUUAAGUCUGAUGUGAAAGCCUUCGGCUUAACCGGAGUAGUGCAUUGGAAACGGGAAGACUUGAGUGCAGAAGAGGAGAGUGGAACUCCAUGUGUAGCGGUGAAAUGCGUAGAUAUAUGGAAGAACACCAGUGGCGAAAGCGGCUCUCUGGUCUGUAACUGACGCUGAGGUUCGAAAGCGUGGGUAGCAAACAGGAUUAGAUACCCUGGUAGUCCACGCCGUAAACGAUGAAUGCUAGGUGUUGGAGGGUUUCCGCCCUUCAGUGCCGCAGCUAACGCAAUAAGCAUUCCGCCUGGGGAGUACGACCGCAAGGUUGAAACGCAAAGGAAUGGACGGGGGCCCGCACAAGCGGUGGCGCAUGUGGUUUAAUUCGAAGCAACGCGAAGAACCUUACCAGGUCUUGACAUCCUUUGACCACCUAAGAGAUUAGGCUUUCCCUUCGGGGACAAAGUGACAGGUGGUGCAUGGCUGUCGUCAGCUCGUGUCGUGAGAUGUUGGGUUAAGUCCCGCAACGAGCGCAACCCUUGUUGUCAGUUGCCAGCAUUAAGUUGGGCACUCUGGCGAGACUGCCGGUGACAAACCGGAGGAAGGUGGGGACGACGUCAAGUCAUCAUGCCCCUUAUGACCUGGGCUACACACGUGCUACAAUGGACGGUACAACGAGUCGCGAGACCGCGAGGUUUAGCUAAUCUCUUAAAGCCGUUCUCAGUUCGGAUUGUAGGCUGCAACUCGCCUACAUGAAGUCGGAAUCGCUAGUAAUCGCGAAUCAGCAUGUCGCGGUGAAUACGUUCCCGGGCCUUGUACACACCGCCCGUCACACCAUGAGAGUUUGUAACACCCAAAGCCGGUGGGGUAACCGCAAGGAGCCAGCCGUCUAAGGUGGGACAGAUGAUUGGGGUG